UGGGGAAUAUUGGACAAUGGGCGAAAGCCUGAUCCAGCCAUGCCGCGUGUGUGAAGAAGGUCUUCGGGUUGUAAAGCACUUUAAGUUGGGAGGAAGGGCUGCAAGUUAAUACCUUGUAGUUUUGACGUUACCAACAGAAUAAGCACCGGCUAACUUCGUGCCAGCAGCCGCGGUAAUACGAAGGGUGCAAGCGUUAAUCGGAAUUACUGGGCGUAAAGCGCGCGUAGGUGGUUUGGUAAGAUGGAUGUGAAAUCCCCGGGCUCAACCUGGGAACUGCAUCCAUAACUGCCUGACUAGAGUACGGUAGAGGGUGGUGGAAUUUCCUGUGUAGCGGUGAAAUGCGUAGAUAUAGGAAGGAACACCAGUGGCGAAGGCGACCACCUGGACUGAUACUGACACUGAGGUGCGAAAGCGUGGGGAGCAAACA
rnacentral:rRNA from 1 species